CAACAGCUUCCCUAAAGUGGAAAUCAAAUAAUAUGCAAAACAAAAGGCCUGUGUAGCUGCUUGACACAUAAGGACCUGCACUUUUUCAGUUUUUGGAAAGGCACGGACAAUUUCAAAAUCCCUGCCAAAUAUAUUAGAGGUCAUUCACAAGUAUGCUGAACCCGGGACCAGUCUAAAGACCUACAGUAUUCACAAAGUGCAUGGCUUUUGGGAAAAUGUCUCAAGAGAUUUGGGAGUGCCUAAUACAUGUCUUAAUAGGAAAAAAAUUCUCAAAGCAGUCCUGCAGUAUGAAAAGACCACAUCAGGGGUAGAGGGUCCCUUACUACAGACUGAUUUUCCUACUGCAGAGACAACACUUGGAGAUGAUGUUCCUUCCAUUAAUGAGGAAGACGUUGUUGCGCCAAAGUCUCCACAAUCUGUAGGAAAUGUACCUUUACCUUCAAGAAAAGAGGAUGCACUUCAAAAAACUGCAGAGAGCGGCAUCCAUACCCCAGACACACAAUCCCUCGAGAGUGACUCUAAAUCUUCAUCUUCAAAUGCAAAUGCUAAGAGGAAUGAAUCAGAUGAAUCAGCUAAGGUCAACACAGACAGUAGCAGUUCAGGAGAAAGAUUUUUCACAUCUGGUUUGCCACAGCAGAAAACUUUCUUUUUCAUAAAUGAGAAUGAAUGGAAGGAGUUACGGCAACAUCAGUCAGGAAGACUAUUUAAAGGACUGCAGUGGACAAAUAUAAUUGCCAGUGGAAUCAGAACCCUUAAUCCGUACUGCAGUUUUGGAUUUCGGAGACACAGUGUGAAAAAACUCUCUUCAAGAUCAAAGGCACCGGUUUUCAGGUGUAUGGGGUACUGCAGAUUUCAGGACUGCCCUGUCACUGUGGAUGUGGUGGUUUAUGAUGAAGAGACACUGAAAGCAGAAGUCGUUUUUAAAGGAGGUGAGGUCUGCCAUAAUAACAAAGAGCUGAAAAGGCAGCCUGUGUGUGCACAAUCACGUCAAAGUACUGGAGAACUCCUCAAAAACAAAUUACCAAGGAGCUUGUACUUGGAGUCUUUACAGAAAGUGCCACAAAAGCUGAUCCAACCUGGCAACAGGGAUGAUGCUCCAACAAAAGAAGUCUUGAAAAACAUUGCAUGGUCUGAAAGAAAAGCCAGUAGAGCAGAUCCCAACGAGUUGAUGAGCUUACAAAAGAUAAUUCAACAGUAUCAGGACACUGAAAAGGAUGUACUGCAGAAGAUUCUGAUGCAUCCAAAGGGCAUAAUGCUAUGGUCUAAGAAAACCUUGUCAGUUUUUCAUC
ensembl:lncRNA